AAACAGCGAUAUGUGGUGCGACACGCACGCUUCGUGAGUCAUCGAAAUCUUGAACGCAGCCUGUGCCCUCUGGAGAGAGGGCGUGUGUGGUUGAGUGUGGGUUUUUGUUGGUUGGAGGUGCGGCGCGCAUCUUUGAAAUGGAGAUGGUUUGGUGUUGAUGCUGUUUCAGCGAGUGCCAUGCCUGCUACGCACACGGCGUCUUUUGACGCCGCUCUUCCAUCCACCCCAGCCACACACGACUACCCGCCGGACUUAA
rnacentral:misc_RNA from 1 species